rnacentral:lncRNA from 1 species
UUUACAUAUUAUGCUCGUCAUGCAUUCUAACAUUUUUACAUCACGUUAUAUGCAUCUACUUAGCAUUUUACAUUAUGUCAUUGACAUGCAUUCUUCACAACAUGCUCACAUGCAUUCUCUUUAGCAUUUACUACAUGCAUCCAUCUAGCAUUUACAUGCAUCAAUAUGAAACCACAUUACUCUUAGACAUAGAGGCGACCUAGUCGCUUCGGUAAACACAACCCAUCUCAAAACGCUUUCCGAUUGCUUGUAGUCACUUGCAAUCGGCCUCCCGCGGCACCCGUGACCCGGUUUGGUCCGAACUCUCGCGCCACCACCCGAACGGCCACCAAUUCACGAUCCGAAAAUUAAAGGUAUAUAACUUGAUGUCAAGAUACUCCGGAUCCGUUCUCGUAAUUUUUGGACGACACCUCAGCCCUCCAGGCGAAAAUGAAGCUUUAACGGUCUGUUUCUUCAAUAGCUUCGCGUAGGCUCGACGAAUCGCCGAAGCGACUUCACCAAUGCGUUCGUAUACAUAACAAUUAGGUUUGUAUAGGGCUAAUUUACAUUUAAACCUACCCAUGAUAAAAGCCCAAUUUUGGUGCCCAAAUAAUGUCAUUUUGCCAUUUUUCCUAGAUUGAUCUCAUCCCUAAACAAAUAUUAGCCUAGAAUCAUCUAGGAAGCUCUCUAAUACCAUUACUAAGCCAUUUGGACCAACCCUAGGGCAUCUGACACAACCCUAGGUGAUCACCAUAAGAGCACCUUGAGAAAACCAUAAUUUUUAUGGUGUUCAAGGCUCAACUUUGCUUCUAAACAUGAGAGAAGUUCCAAAACCUCAAGUUCCAUAGAGGAAAUCCAAGCCCUAGAUGGGCUUUACACUAAAACUCACCUUAGGUCAAGCUCCUCCCAAGUUCCACCUUAAUAGAGAGCUUCCAAGCUUCCAAAACCCUAGAUCCUUCAAUUUUCUCCCCCAAAUCCACCUCUAAUAGCCUUGGUGGAGAGCUUCUAGAGAGAGAGAGGGAGAGAAAAUGAGAGAAAUGAGAAGGAAAGGGGCUGCUAUGAAAGGGGAGAAGUGUUUGCCUUUUUAUAGUGUGCUAUAAUUGCAACUAGGCCCCCCAAAACAAUAUUAUUUGCAGCAGACUAAAUCUGUGUUGUCAGCCCAAAGUGUACCGGUACACUUUCAUUUGUCACUGGUAACACGAUUACGCAGAGACAAAUCCGAGAGCAGUUUCUCGAUUUCACAGGGUUUGUACCUGUACACUUUCAAAGUGUACCGGUACACUUUCAAAGUGUACCGAUAUACUUUCAUCUGUCACCGGUAACACAAUUACGCAGAGGCAAACCUGAGAGCAGUUUCUCGGUUUCGUAGGGUUUGUACCGGUACACUUCAAAUUUUUCUCAAACCCGAGAGUAAACCCUUCUCGGUCUGUAGGGCUGUAUCGGUGACAACUCAAUGGUUGUACCGAUACACUUUGCCCAGACUGUUUGUUUUGCGCCAUUUCGAUUCUAUUUCGCACCGAACAACGUUAAAACCUUUCCAACUCCUUCUAAACUCACUUUUAAGCCUUCCAGCCUUGUUGGAAUGUUAAAUAGAACUUGUCCAACUGUUUCUUUCGGGCACUUCGGCCAAUUUGGCUAAAGUCUAAUAUUUUUCACCGACGUUUCGGUAUGUUGCAUUCUCCACCCCUUAAAAGAAUUCGUCCGCGAAAUUCAAACCGCACCUCAAUUCGGCCCCUCGAGCAAUUGAGGGUACUAAUGCAUUUCCCACUCUGGUAAGGCUUUUCACUUUUUGAACCAAUUUCAAGGCCUAUUUUGGGGGAUGUGAAACCAAACUCACUCACAUUUGCCACGUAUAACUCUAAAAGCGCAUUACCACCAUGCAAGGGACUACCCUUUGCAUUAUACACCCAAUCGGGGGAUUCACUCCGAUUCGAUCACCGAUAUUGUACAGAAGCAAUAUCGUUGGUGCGCGAGUGCUCCAAUCCCAUCCGGAUCCUUGCUCUAUCACGAGAUGGCACACUCCGGCACAUCUCCAACUUAGUGCAUAAAAGAGCAUCAUCCCUAAGCUCCAACUCUCACGUGGCUUUCACUAGCUCAAUGCCUCACAGGAGCAUCUCAUCCUUUGCCAUCAUACGCCACGGCCAGCUCGACUUCGUUGUCGUAAUCAACUCACGCGAAGACUACGCUCGUGAAUUCUAAUCCCAACUCCUCAACAGAGUUACCGGCCAAGCCACUUUCCUCGGUUUCCACAGGUGGUCCAUAGACCGCCAACCCUACGUAGGCCUACCGCCUAACUUGUCUCGAUACAUGCAACGUCUCUCACUCGUAGGCGCAGACCCAAUCAACAUUUUCGGGCGAAAUUUUUACUUGGGAAUUCGCACACACUCCAACCGGGAGCUAUCAAGACACCAAACCACGUCACAUCCUCAGGUUGGGUCACCACACACUUGGUGCAUCCUCGAUCUCAUGACCCAAUACGUGGCAUUCCACGCACACGGGUCGAAGCUCGGACUACCGUCUUGACCAAAACUCUAUCCUACCCGUAGCUAUCUGGCCGCUGUCACUCACAGCUGAUUGCGCCGGCCCGAAGGGCCUGGGCUCCACAGUCCACAAAUGGUCGAGGCACGGGUUGUCCCAAGCAACACCAGCCGUCGUCGUCCUACACGACACACUCUAUCGAGUCACGUACCACUACCGGCUCCUAAGCACCUAGUGUGAGCCAUCAGCCCCACGAGUGAAGGCUGAAGUGCUACUGCCAACGUACUCCCGGCUGAGUCAAUACCGCACACCACGAGUACCUAUACUCGAGCGCUCUACACGCCUCUAUAGCGUUCCAACUAUAUCAAGCAUUAGGCAACCUUGCCUAUGCAACCAGCCACACGAGCACGACUCACCCACCUCAAUUAGAGGUACUACUAAGCCCACGUGCUUGUGCACGGGAACUAACCGGCUACUCUCUCUCAACGGCGAUUCUACUUUCACCGUCCGAUCUAUCGGAACGACAUCCGAAACACUCAGAUUACUCGGGUAUCCUCAAAUAUAAUGGCCCAACUCUCACAAUAUACUAAUUAUUGCCAUGAGAGUCGCUUCACCACUUCGCGUUCACCACGAGUCUCAUUUCUCGUGCAAGAACCACUAUUAGCCAUUCGCUAGUACCACUUGGCUCUUUACCUGCCCUAGCAGGCGCCACGCUCUCACCGCAUAAGUAUGUUCGGGUAUCUACCUACCUGCCCUAUGGGUCCCUACUAUGCAAUGCAUAAUUAGUAGCAACUAACCAUUCGAUAAAAUGCAUGCUAUGCACCGAUUUUAACAUCAUGCAGAAGCAUAUGCUUGCUUUAACUAACUCAUACCUGCCAUGACAUCGUCAGCAGCGACAGGCUCCACCACUCGGGUCGCGUAUCCAUGGCCAUUUGGCACUCGCUGCGAACCCACCGGUUGCAUCGUCUUCAACGGCCGCUCUCCUGACCAUGCCGCAGGUGGCAUACCUGCAGGCUGUCCCUGAGAGGAAUAGGUCGUCGCCAGCAUCAAGGCCCGGCCGUCACCUUGCGGACACUCGUCCCGCAAAUGACCCGGCAGCCCGCACUUGAAACACUUGCCCUCUCGCUGCUCACACUGUUGUGGGAAAUGAAGGCCCCCACAAAUGACACAUCUCGCCGAGGACCGAAUGUGGUAUGUCCCCGGAGCUCGGGAUUGAGAGCGUGAACUCAUCGAGGUCUGUUGGAAACUAGAGCGACCACCGGAUCCACUCCCUGGUCGUCCUUUCUCUUUUUCCCUGUAGUACGCCUCGCGCUCCUCCCGUAUAAAUGCGUUGUCUUGUUCUAUCCACAAGGCCCGAUCCAGGACUUCAGCAAAAGUCUGUAACUUAAGUAUGAGCACCGCCUUAUAAAGGUCUGGCCGAAGUCCACGCACAAAGCAGUUGGCCUUAUCCUUGUCAUCCCGUACCACGUUCGGGAUACAAUGCACAAUACGGGAGAAUUUUCGCUCAUAUUGCCUGAUCGAGCGGUCUCCUUGACGCAGCUUCCGGAACCUUUCUUGAAGCUUCCUUUUCUCGCUGUCGGAGAAAUAAGCAGAGAAUAGCAUUCCCCGAAACUCUUCCCAAGCCAUAGGAGGGAGACUAGGCAAUCGAUCUCACUUAACGCCAUUCCACCACACCUUCACCGACUAUUUCAAGUAGUGCACGGCUAGGUUUACCUUGUCCCGCUCCACCGUGUACAUAUCCUCGAAGAGUGUUUCCAUGGAAUCAAUCCACAUCUCCACGAUCCACGGAUCUGUAUCCUCUCCAUCGAAGGUAGGCAGAUCAAACUUUUUGAAAGCCAUGAGGGCCGCCAAAGCUCGCUCCCUCUCCGCCUCCACCUCUGAACCGAUAGGAGUAAGAUCACCCGACCCCGACGGAAACAUCUCCGCCGCAACUCCCGGCUAGUCUCGACGAGCCGCAGCUGGUGCUGCCACCAGCUGAUCCACCAUUUCUUGGACUCUUUUCAUUCGCUCCUCAUGGCGCAUUGCAGCCUCCUCCUAACGCUGCACCACUUCAACCUGUUGCCUCAUCACUCCUACGAGUGUGGCCAACUGAUCAUGAAGCUCUGAGUCUCCGCUCGUGUCGGUUUGCUCAGGGACACCACUUGUCCCCUCCCGCGCCGAUCCGGACGAAGAUCGCCAACGCGGUGCCAUCGUUUCUUGAAACACGACAACUCUAUUAGUUCUCGACCAUCUUGGGUCGAAUACAAGACCACUAACACCGGCUCAAAAGCCAAUCAGGCGAAAGUCACGCAAGGGUGUCUAUUCUCAUCACUAGGUUUCAUGUUGUCGUACGCCAACAUAAACAUCCUCAGCUGAGAAUAAACCACACCUCGAGUCUACCUCUAAUAUCCGUCUUAGAGGUUUACAACACAACCCAAUCCAUUAACCUUUCGCCACAAUUCACAAGUCCCCGUCUCUCACGAGCCUUAUCCUCUAUGGUUUAUACUAUCCUAGGGUCUCCUAGGUCUGUCUAAAUCAUUCACAUUCUCUACUUUAUGUCCUAAUACCAUCUUAUCUGUCACGCCCCGUGUCCCGCCUAUUUGGUCGGGUUCGGGCACGCCAACAGACCGCCGAACGGACAGGGUUUCCUCUAUACCGCUGACAGAGUCUCCCCUGUACGUCCAAGGCGUCGCAAUCAAUACAAUGCACGAAGUUCCAACCAAAAACACAUUUCAAUCAAAGAUUGCAUAAGAAAGUAUUAAAAAUAUAAAACAACUAAAUUAUUACAACAUUCAUCUUUAGGUGCAUUUUACAUCACAAUUACUAUUAUAUUUUUCCAACUUCCGAAUACAAUCCAAGUUACAAUAAUUUAUUACAAGUUUAAUCCAUUCAUCUUGUUCUUUUCAUUUUCCUCUACCCCUAGGCUAUGCCGACUCGGGGUACUGCUAUCCCUAGUUUCUGGGUAGGGCGCUAUCUACGGAGCUACGCCCUUGCCUCGCGCCGCCGCGCCGCUCAUAUGCGAACCUGUAACACCCCAAAACAACGUGGGGUGAGAACCAACUCCAUGGUUCCCAAUAGGUACAGCCACCCAAGAAAAAAGCUCGACCAAUAGGUCCAAAGAGGCACUGCAAUCAUGUUAGUCCAAAAACAUCUACAAAUAUAUAUCAUCAUGUUAUUAUGCAACUAACAGAUAACAUGCCUCACAAAAUGCAAUAUGAACAUUAUGCAAAUCCUAUAACUCAUGCAAGUAGAUAAAUUGGUUCUACUUCAUAUUCUUAGCCAUUCUUUACUUGUAGUCGUUCUUUACUUUAUUAGCUAUUCUUAUUCAUUAGCCGUUCUUUACUUUAUUUCCUUGUCACACUAUACUCAUUGGCGAUUCUUUCCUAAGAUUACCUUUACCUUAGCCAUCUAUGCCACUUGACUCAGUCUUGAGUCCAUCAACUGCGGAUAAUCCGCGCUCUGUUCAGCUCGAGGUGAAGGAACUCUCACAUGCACCUCAGCCAACCACAGCCCACCGCGCUCUAUGAUUUAGCCACCCAGCGACGCCAUCGUCGCACACGCCUCGACAAUGGCUCAAGUCAACCGGCGGUAUAAUCCACAAACCGGCUUAACCAUCCGGCGGCGAAAUCGUCGCACACGCCACGUUAAUGGUUUAGCCCCAGGCAGCGAAAUCGUCGCACACGCCACACACCACGCUCGAUGUGAUCCAUAAGCUCUGGGAUUCCGGAAUCCAUUUCACAUAACUCAAGGAUUGGUCUUAACCCUAUAGUGCCGACCUAUCUAGGUCCAAUGUUCUUUCCACCCUAGGUCCACUUGACUCUAGGCUUGAUGCUUUAUCACAUAACCUAGGUUUACUUUAGCUCUAGGUUUAUCCCACAAUCUAUGCUCUUUAACACUAGGUUCAUAUUCAUUUUUAUCCAUCUUAGGUUCAUGACACUAGGUUCAUAUUCAACCUAUAUUCCAUAACACAGGUUUGGUGCCACACUUGUCCAACCUAUGUUUAUUAACACUAGGUUACAUGCCACACUUGUUCAACCUAUGUUUAUUAACACUAGCUUACAUGCCACGCUUGUUCAACCUAUAUUUAUUAACACUAGGUUACAUGCCACACUUGUUCAACCUAUAUUUAUUAACACUAGGUCCGAUGCCACUCGAUCUACCUGACAUGCUAGUUGUCCAACCGAGUAUUCUACAGUUCACAUGCAUAUAUAAUCUAGCACAUCCUUAUAAUGCUAAUCAUUUAUGUAUUAUUAUGCACUCUUCUAGCAUCAUAUAAUCAUGCAUUCAUGCAACUUUCUAGCAUUUACAUAUUAUGCUCGUCAUGCAUUCUAACAUUUUUACAUCACGUUAUAUGCAUCUACUUAGCAUUUUACAUUAUGUCAUUGACAUGCAUUCUUCACAACAUGCUCACAUGCAUUCUCUUUAGCAUUUACUACAUGCAUCCAUCUAGCAUUUACAUGCAUCAAUAUGAAACCACAUUACUCUUAGACAUAGAGGCGACCUAGUCGCUUCGGUAAACACAACCCAUCUCAAAACGCUUUCCGAUUGCUUGUAGUCACUUGCAAUCGGCCUCCCGCGGCAC